rnacentral:misc_RNA from 1 species
AUUGCAGCAGCAUUUAGUCCUGAUGGGAGAACACUUGCUUCUACUCAUGGGGAUCAUACUGUGAAGAUAAUUGAUUGUCAAACUGGAAACUGCUUAAAGGUGUUGACUGGUCAUCGGAGGACUCCUUGGGUGGUUAGGUUCCAUCCAUUGCAGCCUGAAAUUCUUGCUAGUGGGAGCUUGGAUUAUGAGGUUCGCUUAUGGGAUGCAAACACAUCAGAGUGUAUAGGAUCUCGUGAUUUCUAUCGUCCUAUUGCUUCCAUUGCUUUCCAUGCUGAAGGGGAAUUGCUUGCAGUUGCAUCAGGUCACAAGUUGUACAUAUGGCACUACAAUA